CUGCGGCAGCGACACUGUGUGUUGUUGGGUAGGGGAGCGUUCUGUAAGCCUGUGAAGGUGUGUCGUGAGGCAUGCUGGAGGUAUCAGAAGUGCGAAUGCUGACAUAAGUAACGAUAAAGCGGGUGAAAAGCCCGCUCGCCGGAAGACCAAGGGUUCCUGUCCAACGUUAAUCGGGGCAGGGUGAGUCGACCCCUAAGGCGAGGCCGAAAGGCGUAGUCGAUGGGAAACGGGUUAAUAUUCCCGUACUUGGUGUUACUGCGAAGGGGGGACGGAGAAGGCUAUGUUGGCCGGGCGACGGUUGUCCCGGUUUAAGCGUGUAGGUGUGUGUUCCAGGUAAAUCCGGUUCACUUUAACACUGAGGCGUGACGACGAGGCACUACGGUGCUGAAGCAACAAAUGCCCUGCUUCCAGGAAAAGCCUCUAAGCAUCAGGUAACAUCAAAUCGUACCCCAAACCGACACAGGUGGUCAGGUAGAGAAUACCAAGGCGCUUGAGAGAACUCGGGUGAAGGAACUAGGCAAAAUGGUGCCGUAACUUCGGGAGAAGGCACGCUGACACGUAGGUGAAGUGAUUUACUCAUGGAGCUGAAGUCAGUCGAAGAUACCAGCUGGCUGCAACUGUUUAUUAAAAACACAGCACUGUGCAAACACGAAAGUGGACGUAUACGGUGUGACGCCUGCCCGGUGCCGGAAGGUUAAUUGAUGGGGUCAGCGCAAGCGAAGCUCCUGAUCGAAGCCCCGGUAAACGGCGGCCGUAACUAUAACGGUCCUAAGGUAGCGAAAUUCCUUGUCGGGUAAGUUCCGACCUGCACGAAUGGCGUAAUGAUGGCCAGGCUGUCUCCACCCGAGACUCAGUGAAAUUGAACUCGCUGUGAAGAUGCAGUGUACCCGCGGCAAGACGGAAAGACCCCGUGAACCUUUACUAUAGCUUGACACUGAACAUUGAGCCUUGAUGUGUAGGAUAGGUGGGAGGCUUUGAAGUGUGGA
rnacentral:rRNA from 1 species